GAGUGAGUGAGUGAGUCGAAACAAGCCAUUUGUUUCGUGUAAGCCUGAUAGGUUGCAAAGCUUCUUAAUUAGAUAGUAUUGAGUGCUUGCCAAACCUUUUAAGCAACAAUCAUGUGUAAGCCCG